UGCAUUCCUGUGUUCUCAUUGCUGUUGUGU
rnacentral:piRNA from 1 species